rnacentral:tRNA from 1 species
GCCUGGCUGGCUCAGUCAGAGGCUCGAGCAUGUGACUCUUGAUCUUGGGGUCAUGAGUUCGAGUCCCAUGUUGGGUA